rnacentral:tRNA from 3 species
GGAAGGGUGGCCGAGUUGGUUAUGGCGCCAGGUUAAGGUUAGCUUAACAUCUGUUUCCUGGUGGGGCAACCCGCGCGAGUUCGAGUCUCGUCCCUUUCA